CCUACGGGAGGCAGCAGUCGAGAAUCUUCGGCAAUGGGCGAAAGCUGACCGAGCGACGCCGCGUGUGGGAUGAAGGCCUUCGGGUUGUAAACCACUGUCGUAGGGGACGAAAUUUCGCUGGGUUCUCCCAGCGAAUUGACCGAUCCUAGGAGGAAGGGUGGGCUAAGUUCGUGCCAGCAGCCGCGGUAAGACGUACCACCCAAACGUUAUUCGGAUUUACUGGGCUUAAAGAGUCCGUAGGCGGUCAGGAAAGUUGGGCGUGAAAUACCUCGGCUCAACCGAGGAAUUGCGCUCAAAACUACCUGGCUUGAGAGAGACAGAGGUGAGCGGAACUGAUGGUGGAGCGGUGAAAUGCGUUGAUAUCAUCAGGAACACCGGUGGCGAAAGCGGCUCACUGGGUCUUUUCUGACGCUGAGGGACGAAAGCUAGGGGAGCGAACGGGAUUAGAUACCCCGGUAGUCCUAGCCUUAAACGAUGAGCACUAGAUCGAAGGACCCUCACAUCCUUUUGGUCGUAGGGAAACUGUUAAGUGCUCCGCCUGGGGAGUAUGGUCGCAAGGCUGAAACUCAAAUGAAUUGACGG
rnacentral:rRNA from 1 species